rnacentral:tRNA from 1 species
GCUUCCGUAGCUCAAUUGGUUAAGAGCGGCCGCCUAGACUGCGGCUGAUGCGGGUUCGAGUCCCGUCCGAAGCG